rnacentral:rRNA from 1 species
AUGAGGAUCUCUAGUUGGAACGUUAGAGGGCUUGGCGAUUCUGACAAAUGCACUCUAGUUAAGGAUGCUCUCCUGGCUAGUCGAUCGUCUGUGGUUUGCUUGCAGGAAUCCAAGUUGCAGCAGCUAGACUUGAGGAAGGCGUCCACCUUCCUUCCCUCAGGUUUGAGAUCAUUCGUGUACAUGCCGGCGAAUGGCUCCUCAGGCGGACUUGUUCUCACCUGGGACGACAGCGUCGUCCAUGGCACAGAGAUGGCCAAGAACCAUUUCUGCAUCACCAUGAAGUUCCAAUCUACAGACAACAACGACAGCUUUACCCUGUCCACAGUCUAUGCGCCUUGUGAUAAUGAAGACAGACCAGAUUUCUUCGAGGCCAUGAACCAAGUGUCUCCAAUGAUUGCUGGUCCGUGGAUUCUGAUGGGCGAUUUCAACAUGUAUAGAUACGCCCAUGAAAAAUCUUAG